UCUAGUAAGCAAUUUUUACAGCGAAACUGCGAAUGGCUCAUUAAAUCAGUUAUGAUCUACAUGACAAUUACUUUACUACUGGAUAACCGUGGUAAUUCUAGAGCUAAUACAUGCAGAAAAGGCCCGACUUCGGAAGGGCUGCACUUAUUAGAUCAAAACCUUCCUGGGUAAAACCAGUUCUUUGGUGAUUCAUAAUAAUUUAGCUGAUCGCAUGGCCUUGUGCCGGCGACGGUUCAUUCGAUUUUCUGCCCUAUCAGGCUGUUGAUUGUAAGAUAGAGGCUUACAAUGGCUACCACGGGUAACGGGGAAUUAGGGUUCGAUUCCGGAGAGGGAGCCUGAGAAACGGCUACCACAUCCAAGGAAGGCAGCAGGCGCGCAAAUUACCCAAUCCCAAUUCGGGGAGGUAGUGACAAUAAAUAACAAUGCUGGGCCUUUUGGCCUAGCAAUUGGAAUGAGUACAAUUUAAAUCCCUUAACGAGGAUCAAUUGGAGGGCAAGUCUGGUGCCAGCAGCCGCGGUAAUUCCAGCUCCAAAAGCGUAUAUUAAAGUUGUUGCAGUUAAAACGUCCGUAGUCGAAUUUACACCUGGUGUCGGCCCCGCCGGUUCUUCAUUGAGCUGGAUUGGUGGUCGGCCCGGUGAUAAAGUCUGGUUAAUAGGGUGGUGGGCUUCGGUUCGCUGCCUUUCCUUACCAGGCGUAUUACCAUGAGCAAAUCAGAAUGCUCAAAGUAGGCCUUCGCGCCUGAAUGUGUUAGCAUGGAAUAAUAAAAUAGGACUCGAGUCUUGUUUUGUUGGUUUACUUGACAUUGAGAAAUGAUGAAUAGGAACGGUUGGGGGCAUUUGUAUUUGGCCGCUAGAGGUGAAAUUCUUGGAUUGGCCGAAGACAAACUACUGCGAAAGCAUUUGACCCAGGACGUUUUCAUUGAUCAGGGACUAAAGUUGAGGGAUCGAAGACGAUUAGAUACCGUCGUAGUCUUAACCACAAACUAUGCCGACUAGCGAUUGGGCCUUGACCUUUGGUCAGGUUCAGCAGCUUAGCGAAAGUAAAGUCUUUGGGUUCUGGGGG
rnacentral:rRNA from 1 species